rnacentral:rRNA from 2 species
CAUGGGGGCGUCCUAAUACAUGCAAGUCGAGCGAAUCUGAGGGAGCUUGCUCCCAAAGAUUAGCGGCGGACGGGUGAGUAACACGUGGGCAACCUGCCUGUAAGACUGGGAUAACUCCGGGAAACCGGGGCUAAUACCGGAUAAUAUCUAUUUAUACAUAUAAUUAGAUUGAAAGAUGGUUCUGCUAUCACUUACAGAUGGGCCCGCGGCGCAUUAGCUAGUUGGUGAGGUAACGGCUCACCAAGGCGACGAUGCGUAGCCGACCUGAGAGGGUGAUCGGCCACACUGGGACUGAGACACGGCCCAGACUCCUACGGGAGGCAGCAGUAGGGAAUCUUCCGCAAUGGACGAAAGUCUGACGGAGCAACGCCGCGUGAGUGAUGAAGGUUUUCGGAUCGUAAAACUCUGUUGUUAGGGAAGAACAAGUACCGGAGUAACUGCCGGUACCUUGACGGUACCUAACCAGAAAGCCACGGCUAACUACGUGCCAGCAGCCGCGGUAAUACGUAGGUGGCAAGCGUUGUCCGGAAUUAUUGGGCGUAAAGCGCGCGCAGGCGGUUCCUUAAGUCUGAUGUGAAAGCCCACGGCUCAACCGUGGAG